UGCUGGUGCCUGGUGGCAUAUUGGGGUGGUAACGGAUGUAUCUCUUUAAAGUGAUGUAUGCAUUGUCUCUCCCAAGGGUUGAGGACGUGACCAGAUACUAAAAGGUUGUUAGGUCAAAUCCCUGACCCGACAAAUGAAAUAAAUCUAUCCUUCUGUCCUAGUUCAAAGGGUUUAUUUUAGGAUGUCAAUCCCAAUUGCUAACCGGGUCAUUGCUGCAAACAACAACGCUCAAUUCAUUUAUAGAGAAAAUGUAAACUAGACAUAUUUUCCCAGCAUCCAAGAAACCAGUUUGAGGUGAUGACAUCUGGUGGCUCUACCGCGUUCCUCCUCCUGUGCCGUCUAUUUAUCAGAGCACCUGUCGGUCGAAGGCCUCCUUGUCUACUGACCGGGAAAGGCUCCUUUCAAGCAGAUGAACUCCUACUGCUCCCGGCGGUCUGCCCCCGCCUGCCCUGACCUGUUGCUACUGUUUCUGGUGCAAGUGCUCGCGUCACACUCCCUCUCCGGACCACUUCACUGACUGGCUGCACGCACAUACAAACCAACAUACAAACUUCUGAACGCGGGACAGACAAUGUUUGUUUCAACAAUCGAGACUCUGACUCUUUCCUGGUCACUCAGGCUCUCUCACAAGGGUUAUGUUCAUGCUACAUAAUGACAUUUCUUUCUAACCUAAUCGUAGUGCCGUGGGAUCACCAUUCAAAUGUCAUUUUAAAAACUCUGUAAAUUGCUCCAUGUGAUUUCCCCUGCACUGAUUGUUUUACUGCUGAUGUUAUCUGGCAAUGUCCGUAUGCAUCCGGGCC
ensembl:lncRNA